GAUGAAGAACGUAGCGAAAUGCGAUAAGUAAUGUGAAUUGCAGAAUUCAGUGAAUCAUCGAAUCUUUGAACGCACAUUGCGCCCGCCAGUAUUCUGGCGGGCAUGCCUGUUCGAGCGUCAUUACAACCCUCAGGCCCCCGGGCCUGGCGUUGGGGAUCGGCGGAAGCCCCCUGCGGGCACAACGCCGUCCCCCAAAUACAGUGGCGGUCCCGCCGCAGCUUCCAUUGCGUAGUAGCUAACACCUCGCAACUGGAGAGCGGCGCGGCCACGCCGUAAAACACCCAACUUCUGAAUGUUGACCUCGAAUCAGGUAGGAAUACCCGCUGAACUUAAGCAUAUCAAUAAGCGGGGA
rnacentral:misc_RNA from 1 species